rnacentral:lncRNA from 1 species
CAGUGAUAUUGUUAGCUUUUUUCAAAACUACCUGUACCCUUUUUUAUUGGGAAAAUAUGCGUCAUUUUUAUCAAAUUGGGAAAUUUAUAAUAAACCAUGAACUUGACUGGAACUUCAAUUUGCAGACCCCUUUAAAGAGGUAAACCCUCAUUUGAAAUAAGACCCCUUAUUGUCAGUGAUGAUACAUAAAUUGAUCCUCAAAUCUGCACAUAUAGUCAUUUUAGGCAUGAAAAAUGUAUAAAUGAGUGUUUUUCAGUUUGUAUUCAUGCACAAUUACUACUGAGACUGCACUGUUUGGGAAAAAAGUUGUCUUUUUGGGAAUAAUUUUAAGCCAUUUCUUAUUCAAAUUGGGAUUCUUCUCCAGGGGAAAAAGCCUUUAUUCUCCGGUAAUUUAAGGCAAACAAUAUCACUGUAUU